rnacentral:misc_RNA from 1 species
UGUGGCAAAUGCACCACUUAUUUCAGCAGAUGCAUUUGAAUCACAAUCUUCAAUUCCUUUUGUAAUCAAGAAAUCUAAUACUGGACUAAUAUUCCUUGGCUUGCUAGCAAUUGUGCUCCAUAGUUUUUCAAUUUCAUCAGGGAACUGAUCACCAUGUCGCCAUGUUACAUAAUAAAGACUCUUCAGCAAUCUUUCACUCCAACCUGAAUCCUUGAGUUUCCAGAAAUUGAGGUUCUCAAUCCAUGGAGCCAUGCAUGUUAAGACCUGAUGCUGUGCAAUUAUAUCAACAGCAUCCAGUUGCCUCUGCAUAAUCUCCUCACAAAGAAGCUGGCUUAAUUCAGGGUGAUCUUUGGCAAGUUUACAUGAAAGCUUGUACUGGAAUUGUUGGUAGGAAUCAGGGAGGUUGCCAACAACAGCAGCUCCAUAGCUUCCUGAGCCCUCAAUGCCAUCCUCAGCCCACUCACGGACAGAAAGUGUUUCAAGCAUCUGAAGGGCAUCAUCACGGAUUUGUCUGUUUGGGUCCACAACUUUGUAGAGGAUCAGGCUCAAAAGCCUCUGUAUUUCACAUUUUGGAAUCUCUUCGCGCAUGUAGACCUCAGCCAACACACUAAAGUAACCAUCAGCUAUAGCAGCAUCAGAAUAGUAGCACUGGUCAAUACAAGCUGGAAAAAGGUCCAAAUUGGUAAGAAGAAGAUUCUUCAAAGCCAACUUUGCUAAGGAAACACGAUGCUGACCUCCUCUAUGUCUGUCACGACCAGUAGCUCCACGCACACCUUCUCCUGUGUACUUGGAAUAAGAUGGAGUUGAUGGAGAGAAACCAAAUGGAGCCCUAGGUGCAGGGUCAUUGAACAAACUGUUGAUCCAUGAUAUCACCCGACCACUCAUUUUUCUUGCAUUGUCAUCAAAGCAUGGUCCAUAUAAAAGUGAAGCCAUAGCAUUCAUGGAUGCCCACUGUAUUGCCUCAAUUUGUUCAUUCAAUUCUUUAUCAAAUGAAAUUUUGUCUAUUGAAUCUUUUGACCGGUUGUGCUGUGAAGCCUUGUAACGUUCAACAUCACGUCGGUAAUCAUUAACACCAUCCUGCCCCCAUGUACCGCCAGUUUCAUCACUCCAGGACAGAAGUAGAUCAAAUAGCCGCUUUCUUGUUCUGAGGUCAAAUUUUUCUGAUUUUGACUCAACAAAUUCAGGUGCAAGAGACCUUAAAACAGAAGCAAGUGCAUAACGGAGAGGUUGCAUUUCUUGGAAGUUCUCAUUUGUUGCUGUAAAGAUCUGUCUAGUUAUUUC